CCUACGGGGGGCAGCAGUGGGGAAUAUUGCACAAUGGGGGAAACCCUGAUGCAGCGACGCCGCGUGAGUGAAGAAGUAUUUCGGUAUGUAAAGCUCUAUCAGCAGGAACGAGACAAGACGGUACCUGACCAAGAAUCCUCGGCUAACUACGUGCCAGCAGCCGCGGUAAUACGGAGGGGGCAAGCGUUAUCCGGAAUCACUGGGUGUAAAGGGAGCGUAGACGGGUGUGCAAGCCUGCAGUGAAAGGCGGGGGCUCAACCCCUGGACUGCAUUGGGAACUGUACGGCUGGAGUGCAGGAGAGGUAAGUGGAAUUCCUGGUGUAGCGGUGAAAUGCGUAGAUAUUAGGAGGAACACCAGUGGCGAAGGCGGCUUACUGGACUGUAACUGACGUUGAGGCUCGAAAGCGUGGGGAGCAAACAGGAUUAGAUACCCGAGUAGUC
rnacentral:rRNA from 1 species